rnacentral:rRNA from 1 species
ACGAACGCUGGCGGCGCGCCUAACACAUGCAAGUCGAACGAGCGAGAGAGAGCUUGCUUUCUCGAGCGAGUGGCGAACGGGUGAGUAACGCGUGAGGAACCUGCCUCAAAGAGGGGGACAACAGUCGGAAACGACUGCUAAUACCGCAUAAGCCCACGACCCGGCAUCGGGUCGAGGGAAAAGGAGCAAUCCGCUUUGAGAUGGCCUCGCGUCCGAUUAGCUAGUUGGUGAGGUAACGGCCCACCAAGGCGACGAUCGGUAGCCGGACUGAGAGGUUGAACGGCCACAUUGGGACUGAGACACGGCCCAGACUCCUACGGGAGGCAGCAGUGGGGAAUAUUGCACAAUGGGGGAAACCCUGAUGCAGCGACGCCGCGUGGAGGAAGAAGGUCUUCGGAUUGUAAACUCCUGUUGUUGAGGAAGAUAAUGACGGUACUCAACAAGGAAGUGACGGCUAACUACGUGCCAGCAGCCGCCGUAA